rnacentral:rRNA from 2 species
UGGGGAAUAUUGCACAAUGGGGGAAACCCUGAUGCAGCAACGCCGCGUGAUUGAAGAAGUAUUUCAGUAUGUAAAGAUCUAUCAGCAAGGAAGAAAAUGACGGUACUUGACUAAGAAGCCCCGGCUAACUACGUGCCAGCAGCCGCGGUAAUACGUAGGGGGCAAGCGUUAUCCGGAUUUACUGGGUGUAAAGGGAGCGUAGGCGGUCUGGCAAGCCAGAAGUGAAAGCCCGGGGCUCAACCCCGGGACUGCUUUUGGAACUGUUAGACUAGAGUGUCGGAGAGGUAAGUGGAAUUCCUAGUGUAGCGGUGAAAUGCGUAGAUAUUAGGAGGAACACCAGUGGCGAAGGCGGCUUACUGGACGAUAACUGACGCUGAGGCUCGAAAGCGUGGGGAGCAAACAGG